rnacentral:rRNA from 1 species
UCGAACGCUGAAGCCCUUCGGGGUGGAUGAGUGGCGAACGGGUGAGUAACACGUGGGUAAUCUGCCCUGCACUCUGGGAUAAGCCUUGGAAACGGGGUCUAAUACCGGAUAGGACACGUGGCCGCAUGGUCUGCGUGUGGAAAGUUCCGGCGGUGCAGGUUGAGCCCGCGGCCUAUCAGCUUGUUGGUGGGGUGAUGGCCUACCAAGGCGACGACGGGUAGCCGGCCUGAGAGGGUGACCGGCCACACUGGGACUGAGACACGGCCCAGACUCCUACGGGAGGCAGCAGUGGGGAAUCUUGCGCAAUGGGCGAAAGCCUGACGCAGCAACGCCGCGUGGGGGAUGACGGCCUUCGGGUUGUAAACCUCUUUCGACAUCGACGAAGCCUUCGGGUGACGGUAGGUGUAGAAGAAGCACCGGCUAACUACGUGCCAGCAGCCGCGGUAAUACGUAGGGUGCGAGCGUUGUCCGGAAUUAUUGGGCGUAAAGAGCUCGUAGGCGGUUUGUCGCGUCGGCCGUGAAAACCUGCCGCUUAACGGUGGGCGUGCGGUCGAUACGGGCAGACUUGAGUUCGGUAGGGGAGACUGGAAUUCCUGGUGUAGCGGUGAAAUGCGCAGAUAUCAGGAGGAACACCGGUGGCGAAGGCGGGUCUCUGGGCCGAUACUGACGCUGAGGAGCGAAAGCGUGGGGAGCGAACAGGAUUAGAUACCCUGGUAGUCCACGCCGUAAACGGUG